rnacentral:rRNA from 1 species
AGCGAACGCUGGCGGCGUGCCUAACACAUGCAAGUCGAACGUGAAAGGGAGCAAUCCCAAGUAAAGUGGCGUACGGGUGAGUAACACGUAGGUAAUCUACCCCAGAAUCUGGAAUAACCGGCCGAAAGGCUGGCUAAUACUGGAUAGAGCGACGGAAUCCGUAAUUGGGUUUUUCGGGAAAGGGAGCCUGUAAAAAGGCCUUCGUUCUGGGAUGAGCCUGCGUCCCAUCAGCUAGUUGGUGAGGUAAAAGCUUACCAAGGCAAUGACGGGUAGCUGGUCUGAGAGGACGAUCAGACACACUGGAACUGAAACACGGUCCAGACUCCUACGGGAGGCAGCAGUGGGGAAUCUUGCGCAAUGGACGAAAGUCUGACGCAGCAACGCCGCGUGAGUGAAGAAGGCCUUCGGGUUGUAAAGCUCUGUCGAGUGGGACGAAAAUGCUUGGAGUUCACAGCUCCAGGAACUGACGGUACCACUAAAGGAAGCACCGGCUAACUCCGUG